AAAAAAAAUCUAACUUCAGGUCCCGACACUUCCUCAAGCCCUAGCCCACUGCCUCCUCAGCUGCUCUUCCCUCUUCGCCUCUUGACUUCCUCUUCGCUUCAUCUUCACCAGACUACCUCCACCCAGCCACCCUCCAGUCGCCUGCUCUGCCUCUGCUGCUUGCCUGCUUGAUGCUUUCCUGCUCCGUCUCCGUGGUCACUGCUCUUCGCCUCUUCGCAAUCGCUUCGACGCAAUUGCUAAUUCACUAUUAACGCUUCCUCUUCGCUCAUCGGCUCACGCCUCGUCGCCUCCAGUGCUGGCCCUGCUGCUGGCCCUGCUGCUCCGCCUACUCGCCUCAAUCAGCGUCUGCCGUCUGGCAAGGUAAUCAUCAAUUUAUUCUUUUUUUUUUGUGAAUUUCUGAUCAAAUUUGCUUUACUUGUUGCUUAAAAUUAGUAUAUACGAUGAAUGUUCAUUGAAUUUGCAUUAUUUGUGUUUUGACUGUUAAAUUGAACUUAUUAGUUUAUGUGAUGCCGGACAUUGUAUAAGACAACUAUUAGUGUAAGGAGGAUUAUAAAUUUAUAAUUAGAUUACAGUGCGGACUGGUUAGUGGUGCUAGUCGCAUAUUCGGCUGGAAGUUCCGUAUAGACUAGGCGGAUUCAGGAAUUGUAAAACAUUGUGUCUGAAUUGUGGUUACAUAAACCUUAAAUCAUUCUUAA